GUACACGCUGUGACUAGCAUAUCAAUAAGCGGAGGAAAAGAAACUAACAAGGAUUCCCCUAGUAACGGCGAGUGAAGCGGGAAGAGCUCAAAUUUGAAAUCUUAAAGGGUUUCCCUUUACGAAUUGUAGUUUAAAGAAGUGUUUUCUGUUGAGGUUUUGGUAAAAGUUCUUUGGAAUAGGACAUCAUAGAGGGUGAGAAUCCCGUAUUUGACCUUUACUUUCAACUUUGUGAUACACUUUCAAAGAGUCGGAUUGUUUGGGAAUGCAGUCCAAAAUGGGUGGUAAAUUUCAUCUAAAGCUAAAUAUUGGCGAGAGACCGAUAGCGAACAAGUACCGUGAGGGAAAGAUGAAAAGAACUUUGAAAAGAGAGUUAAACAGUACGUGAAAUUGUCAAAAGGGAAGCGUUUGACACCAGUGUUGUUUUUCUGAAAAUCAAUUAAAGAACUGUUUAUGCUAAGUUGUUUAGACUUUAUCAGCUAACUGUUUAGUUUUGAGCUUUUCUUUAAUGCACUUUUCAGUUAACAAGUCAACAUCAAUUUCUUUGCUGUAAAAAAGCUUGAGGAAGGUGGCCUGAGAUUCGUCUUAAGUGUUUAUAGCCUCUUGCCUAUGCAGUCGGAGAGAUUGAGGUCUGCAGCGUAGAUCCUUCGGGGCUAAAUGCAUUUGUGCUAAGUUAUAGCAUUUUAUAGACAACUUGUUGACUAUGAUUUGUCUUGUAGCUUACUCGCUUAUGUUAUUUUACCUACGCUUAGGAUGUUGACAGCAGUAUAGACUGU
rnacentral:rRNA from 1 species